rnacentral:lncRNA from 1 species
UGUGUUAAUGAGCAUUACUGUAGUUGGUUUAAUUCGGCACCAGAUAAAUAGAUAACCACCCACACUAUUAUAUUUCAUUAUUUAGAAAACCGAGAUCUUUAUUUGAGUGAAUGAAAAUCUUCCUAACAGAUACAUAGUCAUACUAAUCAGUCAAAAAAAAAUCUAACCUCAAAAUUUAAGCAUCCGAGCUGCAGCCACCGUCUCUGAUUUUGAGUCUUGAAUUAUGGGAACCAAACUGUAUCAUCAUACUAGGGAUAAAAACUAUCAACUGCACAAGAUAUAUAUGGAAAAUCAUUAUUAAGUUUGCGCAAUUACUUCUAGGAAAAUAAAAAGGAACAGAAAAAAGAAAAACAAGAAGGUAGAUGUAUCAUGUAUGUUAUUGCAAAGGUAGUAAACUCUUUAAUUAAGCCUUCAAUCAGAUUCUUUAGUAUAGUGCUUACCCAAGCAAGGCGGACGCAGAACGAGUUGAAUCCCGGAUAAUUGAAGGGAGC